rnacentral:rRNA from 1 species
CAGUAGCCGCGGGAAUACGAAGGGGGCUAGCGUUGCUCGGAAUGACUGGGCGUAAAGGGCGCGUAGGCGGAUGGCACAGUCAGAUGUGAAAUUCCCGGGCUUAACCUGGGGGCUGCAUUUGAUACGUGUUGUCUAGAGUGAGGAAGAGGGUUGUGGAAUUCCCAGUGUAGAGGUGAAAUUCGUAGAUAUUGGGAAGAACACCGGUGGCGAAGGCGGCAACCUGGUCCUUGACUGACGCUGAGGCGCGAAAGCGUGGGGAGCAAACAGGAUUAGAUACCCGCGUAGUCCCUGUCUCUUAUAC